rnacentral:rRNA from 1 species
AACGAACGCUGGCGGCAGGCCUAACACAUGCAAGUCGAACGAGAAGCCACCUUCGGGUGGUGGAAAGUGGCAGACGGGUGAGUAACGCGUGGGAACGUGCCUUUCGGUUCGGAAUAACCCAGGGAAACUUGGGCUAAUACCGGAUACGCCCUUAGGGGGAAAGAUUCAUUGCCGAAAGAUCGGCCCGCGUCGGAGUAGCUAGUUGGUAGGGUAAUGGCCUACCAAGGCGACGAUCCGUAGCUGGUCUGAGAGGAUGACCAGCCACACUGGGACUGAGACACGGCCCAGACUCCUACGGGAGGCAGCAGUGGGGAAUAUUGGACAAUGGGCGAAAGCCUGAUCCAGCCAUGCCGCGUGGGUGAAGAAGGCCUUAGGGUUGUAAACCCCUUUCAGCGGGGAAGAUAAUGACGGUACCCGCAGAAGAAGUCCCGGCUAACUCCGUGCCAGCAGCCGCCGUAACAC